AGGCUGCUUUGUUUACCUAAGCAAGCCUGGGCAAUGGCGGGCGCCCCUCCCCCAGCCUCGCUGCCGCCUUGCAGUUUGAUCUCAGACUGCUGUGCUAGCAAUUAGCAAGACUCCGUGGGCGUAGGACCCUCCGAGCCAGGUGCGGGUUAUAAUCUACUGGUGCGCCGUGUUUUAAGCCCGUGGAAAAGCACAGUAUUAGGGUGGGAGUGACCCGAUUUUCCAGGUGCCGUCGGUCACCCCUUUCUUUGACUAGGAAAGGGAACUCCCUGACCCCUUGCGCUUCCCGAGUGAGGCAAUGUCUCGCCCUGCUUUGGCUCGCGCAUGGUGCGCUGCACCCACUGUCCUGCGCCCACUGUCUGGCACUCCCUAGUGAGAUGAACGCGGUACCUCAGAUGGAAAUGCAGAAAUCACCUGUCUUCUGCGUCACUCAUGCUGGGAGCUGUAGACCCGAGCUGUUCCUGUUCGUCCAUCUUGGCUGUAAUCCCAGGUUCAUCAAAAUAAGAUAUGAUCAAGGUACAAAAGAGUUAAAGAAGCUAUUUAUUUUAAUGUUUCCUUGGAGAGCACACUUGUUAUUGUAUGUAUGCAAAAGAUGAUCUUACUCUUGAGAGCCACUAGAACUCUUUGAAGAAAAAAAAAUGCUAUUUGCUAUAGGGAAAUCUUUCUGGAAAAGUAAUAAUUUCACCUUUGAGUCAGCUUCCCUGGACUCUUGCCUCAUACAUCUUCAGCCAAGAUGCCUGCCCCAGCUUUGCCUUCCACCAUGAGUAAAAGCUUCCCAAGUCCUCCCCAGAAGCAGAUGCUGGCGCUAUGCUUCUGGUACAGCCUGAAAAACCUUGAGCCAAUUAAACCUCAGUGAGCUCAAGAUGUCUUUGUUGAAACAGAACCUCCCGAAGUUACAGUAUUGGUUUUGGGGCUCCACACAGAGAACACAUCACGGAAGCUAUAAUUGAGGAAGACAAAGCUGUCAGGACGACACCAAGAGAGUUAGAAAGCCCAAGAGUGGAGCAUUCUUCACCAUGAUUCCACCUGACACUUGGCUGAAAGCAUUUUGCACUAAUUUGCUUUGUGCCCGUUCAGACAAUCUAAAAAGAAAGGAUGGGGGGACAACAAGUGUCUAUUACACAGAAUAAACAGCCUCUGGCAAAUGAAUAC
ensembl:lncRNA LINC02253 long intergenic non-protein coding RNA 2253